AAAUAUGCCUAAAAUAAGAAAAUGCUCAUUUAUCUUAAGUGUUUUUACACAUUUCCAGUAACAUCAGGAAAUGUUCCAUGUAUGUUUGCAUGGUGAGUUAUUAAUCAUAAGGGAAAAAAAGGUAUAAGGGUGAUAUUAUUCAUGUUGGCAGUAUUUCUCACUGCGCUGUGGUUUGCCACUGUUCAGUCCUCGGCAUUCAUCACAGGGUCAGGGAACAUGUGAAGCAGGUUUUUUCGACUCCUCAGGAAUUUGACCCGACAUCAGCAGCUGUUCCUUCACCCCUCAUUUCUGAACSUCCUUCCUUUCUUUUAGCUGUUUCUAUUUUCCUUUUUACUUUUAUGCUCUGACACUUAUAUUUUCUGUUUUUGUUCUUACACCAUCCACUGCCACUURAUAACAAUUGCAACUUGGUAGAUGAGCUGUAUGCCCAGAAACUGAAGUACAAGGCCAUCAGCGAGGAGCUGGACCACGCCCUCAACGACAUGACAUCUAUCUAAACCUUUUCACUCUUCACUGUGGAAGCUUGUCGAUCAUCAUUUCACUCCUCCGCAGCUCAGCCCGACUUUCUGUAUCUUUUUUUUUUUGCCUAUUUCUUUAUUGCCCUGCCAGGACUGCACACUGGGCUUUUGCUGCCAGCAGCCCUUGUUCCAUGUCUUAUACAGAUUUUUGAGCCAUAUUGCAUUCUGUAAAAUAAACACUCUUUCAUCAUCUAUGUCUAUGA